UACUCGCAACCACAGACAUAACCUCCUGUGCCUCCACAUUUGAAAGCAGCCAGCAGCAUUCUGGAUUUUUCAGAGGUGCAGAUCUGGAGGCAGAUCUGCAGCAUGGCCAGCAGCAUAAUGACAUCACUGCCUACAAGGUGAAGCGAUACUGAUGAGUGCUGAACCUGGAUUAUCUAAAAAGAAGCCAAAAAAUGUACAACUUCCAAGCAGAAUUGAAUAAGUGAAUUUCCAUUCACAACUGAGAAAGUGACAAGAAGAACACAGCUGUUCCCAACGAUCAAUGCAAGACUCACAGACUGACCUAGAUUCAAGGCCGUGGCUAGGCCCAGGUGUCUGCAUCGGUAGCUCAGAAUUCCAAACGUCUUUAUGGAGAUAAGACUUCAAACUUUAAGAUCUGGAUGUUUUCUUACCUUUUGGUUCAUUUUUAAUUUUUUCUUUUUUUUGGAAGUUCUGGUUUUGUAACAAAGAUGGUGCCGAAGAAUAGCAGUUUUGUUCACUUUUCACUGUACUCAUGUAUUCCUAUAAUUGAGUACAUGUGACAAUAAAAUCCAAUUCUAAAAUCAGGUGGAAGUUACUUACACAUUAAACAAACCUCCUUAGUUUCUUUAUUUAACCAGGAAAUCAUUUAACUGUUCUCACUUGAUCCCCCACCCCACCAUUCUACCAUGUGCAAUGAUCAAUCACAUUCUGACGGAGAGGGUGCCCAACAUAUCCAAAACUGGUGCAUUUCCAGUACUACACUUCCUUGGCUAUAACUCUCAAGAUUCUAAAACUUGCCUGCACCAAGCAGUUGUCAAGAUUUUGUACCUAUCUUCCAAUUCUUCACCCAAUGCUGCUCUCUGCACCAGUCUUUAAGAGCUAGUAAGUUCUCACUCGUACCUUGGACAAUUUUUAUUUCUCUAACCAGCAUCUCAAAGAGAUGGUCAUUUAUCAAAUCUUAAUGCAAAUUGGGUAAUGUGUUUCCAACAUUACAACAGUAACAAUACAUCAAAACUGUUUCACUGACAGUAAUGUGUUUUAGAACAUCAUCAGGUAAUGAAAGAUGUUAUAUCAAUGUUAGCCAUUCUUUUCAUUACUUUGUUCCAUUCUAAGAUCCGCAAUCACUGUGGGUUGAAUCCACAGUAUCUGAGUCAGGCCCCCAUUCUGAGCCAAUCAAUGGACAGUGAAACUGACCAUGUUAUCAGCCCUUCAGCUCUGGAGGUGUAGCCUAGCUUUGUAAAGACUGAUUGGAGCAUCAGCACAAUGAUAGCCCUGUCCUAAUGUCAAGAAUGUUACCCCAUAAGUCUCACACAGCACUUUUUGGAUCAGCAAACAACACACAGGUUGCGUCAGAACUGGACCAGAGUCUGGCUCGAGAAUGUUCAGCCAGCACUGAAACUUGCAGACCUCAGCUGAAAUGAAAAGAAGUAGCACAUUUUAACAUCUAUUGAUCACUGAUUGUUGGAAGAGAUUAUCGGCUGGAUUAUGUAUUAACUACGUCCUUGAGGAGGUGUGGCUGUUGUAUAUUUUCAAAGCUAUUGAUUGCUGAUUGCGAGAACAAAUAUGAAGAGUCCAGAUUGGUCUCACUGGAUUAAGUAUUAACUGUAUUCUCAAUGAGGUAUGUUCACUAUCAAUGACGAACAUGACGAGCCCCCUUAUCCUGAACGAUGGGAGGUCCUCUGAUUGUGUAUUUAAAGGCACAGGCAUCAUGGCAAAAACUCAUCAGACACUUGAAGAUCUUCAGAAUUCAAGUUGCUCAACAGAAGAGAAAGAAGUUAGAAACCUGAUCAGCUGAACCCGCUCUGAAAGAGCUCCCAAGCAGAUCUGUUGCUGGUCCAUUUCCAACAGAAGAGAUGGCCCCUCAACUCCAAUCUCAGCCCCAACACCCUCUGAAUGUGGUUCAGGGAGAUCUGAAUGCCUUGAGCCCUGCAGUGAGAGACUUUGUUGAACAAAGUGCGAAGUUAUGUCAACCAGACAAGGUCCACAUCUGUGAUGGGAGUGAAGAUGAGAACAGGCAGCUUCUGUGCCUGAUGGAAGAGCAAGGGAUAAUCAAACGCUUAACCAAGUAUCAGAA